GGUCAGAACUAUAGAGUGCUCAACCCUCAUUCCUCUCUGCCCCAUGUCACCUUCACAGAACAUCUGGAUGUUUCCAGGUUCUGCUGAGACUUCAAAGAGCUGACCAUGCAGCCUAGGGAGUGGGCAGCCAGAUCCAUGAGGCCGGAAGUAGAUGCUAUGAGUCGGUAUGUUCAUACAUCUAAUGAGACAGGCACUACCUUGCUCAGAGUGAGGGACUGGGCAGGCUCCAUGAUGUGGUCUCUCUGUGGAUGUGGAACCUGGACAGGUCAUACUUCCACCCUGCUCUAGAACCACAAGCUCAGCACUGGCCUUCACAGGCCGGCAGUUUUUUCAUCAGAAAAUGGGGAGAACCCAGCUACUUGGGAGGCUGAGACAGGAGAAUCACAAGUUUCAGACUAGCCUGGGCAACUUAGUGUCAUCCUAUCUCCAAUUAAAAAUUGUUGCUGAGUGUGGUUGCUCAUCCCUAUAAUCCUAUCACUCCAGGAGGCUGAGGCAGGAGGAUUACAAGUUUGACCCCCUUCUAGGCAAAUUCAUCGACUCAGCCAGAUCCUGCCUCAAAAUAAACAUAAUUAAAAAGUAUUGGGCUGGGAAUGUAACUCAGUGACAGAGCAUUUAUUUAGCAUGCAUGGGACCCUGGGUUCAAUCCCCACUACAGCCAAAAAAGAAAAAGAAAAAAGUGAUGAAUGUAAAUGUAUUGUAUACCUAAAAUGUACCAAUGAAAGAAUUUGAGUGAAAAAAAAAGAAAAAGAAGAAAAGCGAAGAGGGGGAGUGGGCAAGUCUGGACUCCACCAGGCCUGGCACUCUGCAUUCCUCUGUCCCGUGAUUCUCACCAAGCACCCUGCCUCCUUCUUCACUCGGUUGCUUUUCUGGAACUCCCCAGCACCAGAGUAAUAAAGUCUGAACCCAAACGGAGGAGACACUGGUGGAAUUUCAGUACUGGAUUGGAACACAGACUUGACCAGUGAGGUCAUUUUAAUCCCCAUAGGAUUUGCAAAGAGAUGACAUCACUCCUGCGUCUCCUGAGAGAGCACGAGGCUUCCUAGGAGGUGCAAGCCUGGGCCUGGCCUCUGAGCAGCUCUAAAACCCCAGUCCCGCCCACUCAUUUCAACUUUACCGCCUCUGCCGCAGGGCAGGACAGGGCUGGGCAAUCCUCCUGCCCUUUCUCCAGCUCCUCUACCCAGACCAGGGCUGAGCUGGCAAUUUCUGCUGUGCCAGGCCUGGUUGCACCUGUCAAAACAGAGCCACGGGACAGGAGUGGGGAGCUGAAAAACAGGGUCUGACCACACUGGACUUUCCAGCAGGGCUGGCCUGGGCUGGGCUGGCCAUUCCCAAAAGCCUCGCCCAGCCCGCUGAGCAGCCUUCCUGGGGCAGCUUGACCUGCAGAAGCACUGGGCAUCGUUUUCCUUUUUCACCUGUCCAGCCCUUCGGAUUUCUGCGUGCCUGCCGUGGUAGGAAGUGUUCACAGGCUUGUCCAGGGCUUUCAGCAGGGACUGCCUGCUGGGGUGCAACCACCCAGGACCCCAGAAAAGUAGAGCUUGUGCACCUUCACUCUGGACCCAGUGAUUCCAAAUUGC
ensembl:lncRNA